UUGGCGCCGGCGGAGCCAGAGGCGAAGACGUCAUCGGCCUCGGAGCGGGAUCCGCUGGCUGCUUGCUGGCUCCGACCCCAGUCCGGCCGUCCGGCCUGCGCCUGGCGUGUCCCUGGGGAUCCGGCCUGCGCCGCUCUCCGGGCCCAGAGGCGAGGUGGCGGGAGCACUGCCAGCCAAGGGCUGACCUCAAGGAUCCAAGCGGCGGCGUGCCCGCAGCCUCUCCUCCCCGUUCCCUGCACCCCUCCCCGCGCUCCCCUCCGCCACCGCCCGGAUCGGAAAGGGGCUUCCUGCGCUUUUGCAUACACGUGUGCCCCUUUCGCUCAUUGCCUCGUCACCACCAGGCACGGACAGGCUCCCCAGGAGAAGCGAUUUACUUGACCAAUGUCACAAUGCUGGGGGUAGGGGUACAGAGAAGAACCUGAAAUGAGAGUUGGAGAAAAAUUAACAAGUCUGUCGGUGGAAAUGUCGUUCCUACUAAGGAUAACCGGGGUAACAUUACCAACCCCCAUGUGAAGAGACAGAGGAACCGAGGCCAGAGAAGUUACCUAACCCAUCCAAAGGCACACAGCAAACCCUGCAAAGAAGGGAUCCGAUCCUCAUGCACGGAAGAGGGAACUGAGGCACCGGCCAGGAUCCCCGAGCCAGGAAUCCUUCUCAGAGCUGUCUGACUCUGCAGUCUUGCUUCUUUUAGCCCUGUGUCUACAGAAACCUGGUCGUUUUUAUCCGUGGACGAAGAUACCCAUGUCACCACCUGAAUGUGUUCAGGAGAGUCUAGAAAACCUGAGACUUGUCUCAGCAAAACUGCCCGAGUUAUCGCAGAGGAAGAGCUGCAGAGGCUUGGCAGUCCUCUGGGACCUCAGCAUUCCAGAGGCCAGAUGUGUGAGCCUGACGUCACCUCACCAAAUUCCAGGCUGCGCUCUGCUGGCUUGUGAGCCCUGUUCCUCCAUGCCUUCCUCCUCCCUUUCCUCAGGAUGAAAGAGACUGAGUGCUGCUGGCAGCUCCUCCCCAGCAUCUGGCAGAACAUUCUGCCCCAUAGCUGAGCUCCUCUCACUCCCCAGUCAUCCCUGGGGGCGGCUGGGGACUCGCAUUUCCAUUUUCAGUGCACAGCCAGGCACCAGAUCUUUCCAGGACCAGCAGGGCUAGCCGUAUGGGGUCGGGGUUAGGGACAUGAGCUGUGACACCGGACAGAGCUGAGUUCAAAUCCUCCACCUGCUGCUUGUUAGCUGUGCGAUUUUAAGCAAUUAGCUUACCCUCUCUGAGCCUCUGUUUCCCUAUUUGUAAAUGGAGACUGUGGCUGUCAACUCUGAUGCCUUCUUCAUUGAAAGAGUCUCUUCCCAUUUGCUUGCAGCUCUGAAAAAUGAACUAUUCCAUCCUAUCAGUUUUCUUUUUUUAUAUGCACUCCAUCCAUAAGCCAAGAAAAGAAGAAGCUGAUACUAGAGUUUUAAAAUGGAACAGUAAUGUCGUAUAUCUGAAACUAAAGUAAUAUUGCGUGUUAACUAUAGUUCAGUUUUAAAAAAAAUGAAGCAGUAAUAUUUAUAUCCUAUUUACUAUGUGCCAGGAAUCUGUUAUAAGGUACCAUCACUAGCCCCGUUUGACAGAUGAGGAAACUGCGACCCAGAGAGGUAAAACAACUUGCCUAAUGCCACAUGGCCAGUAGAUAGCUGGCUGAGAUUCACACCCAGGCUGUCUGACUUCAGGGUCCAUGCACUUAAGCACUGUGUUGAGAAAAGUAAACAAGAUGAAACCCACAAAGUGUGCGGCAUGAUGCUAGAUGCAUAGUGAAUUCUGAAUAAACGUUUGCUGGUAAUA